rnacentral:rRNA from 1 species
AUGCUUUCACAACUUGACUUCAAAAUAUUUGGUUUGGAGACCAUCAAAGAUCAAUAUGUUCAUGAUGCUGAUUUUAAAGAUGUAAUGCAGAAUUGUAAAGAAGGAAGAAUGUGGAACAAGUUUGUCGUUAACGAUGGAUUUGUGUUUCGUGCUAACAAGCUAUGCAUUCCAGCUAGCUCCGUUCGUCUUUUGUUGUUGCAGGAGGCGCAUGGAGGAGGAUUAAUGGGACACUUUGGCGUGAAGAAGACGGAGGACGUACUUGCUACACAUUUCUUUUGGCCAAAGAUGAGACGGGAUGUUGAGCGGGCUAUUUUGAAGAAUAAUAAGAAAAUGUGGGAGGAAUGCUUGCCUCAUAUUGAAUUUGCUUAUAAUCGUUCAUUGCAUUCUACUACUAAGAUGUGCCCUUUUGAAGUUGUGUAUGGUUUCCUACCUCGGGCACCUAUUGAUUUGUUGCCUCUUCCAUCUUCGGAGAAGGUUAAUUUUGAUGCUAAACAACGUGCUGAAUUGAUUUUAAAAAUGCAUGAGUUAACUAAGGAAAACAUUGAGCGUAUGAAUGCUAAAUAUAAACUUGCUGGAGAUAAGGGUAGAAAACAUGUUGUGUUUGCACCUGGAGAUCUUGUUUGGUUACAUUUGCGUAAGGAUAGAUUUCCUGAUUUGCGCAAAUCAAAGCUAAUGCCACGUGCUGAUGGUCCCUUUAAGGUGUUAGAGAAAAUAAAUGAUAAUGCAUAUAAACUUGAGCUGCCUGCAGAUUUUGGGGUUAGUCCCACUUUUAACAUUGCAGAUUUGAAGCCUUAUUUGGGUGGGGAAGAUGAACUUCCGUCGAGGACGACUUCAUUUCAAGAAGGGGAGGAUGAUGAGGACAUCAAUACAAUUGUUACACCCACAGCCCCUGCUGCUAUACAUACUGGACCAAUUACUAGAGCUCGUGCACGCCAACUAAAUUACCAGGAAACAGACCCUCGUGGUCAGGUUGAUCGUGCUCCGGCGUGGUCAAUAACCUCUCAGAGUUGGUUUAGCGAUUGCUAA